GCAGACACAUUCCAGCCAAUCAGCAGCAGACCCUCCCUCCUAGACCCUCCCACCUCCUGGACAGCAUCCAUUUUGCAUUCAUUGUGAAGCUGCAUUCUUAGUGAGCUGUCCAGGAGGUGGGAGGGUCUGGGAGGGAGGGUCUGCUGCUGAUUGGCUGGAAUGUGUCUG
rnacentral:miRNA from 1 species